rnacentral:rRNA from 1 species
CCUACGGGAGGCAGCAGUGGGGAAUAUUGCACAAUGGGCGAAAGCCUGAUGCAACGACGCCGCGUGAGGGAUGACGGCCUUCGGGUUGUAAACCUCUUUCAGCAGGGAAGAAGCGAAAGUGACGGUACCUGCAGAAGAAGCGCCGGCUAACUACGUGCCAGCAGCCGCGGUAAUACGUAGGGCGCAAGCGUUGUCCGGAAUUAUUGGGCGUAAAGAGCUCGUAGGCGGCUUGUUGCGUCGGUUGUGAAAGCCCGGGGCUUAACCCCGGGUCUGCAGUCGAUACGGGCAGGCUAGAGUGUGGUAGGGGAGAUCGGAAUUCCUGGUGUAGCGGUGAAAUGCGCAGAUAUCAGGAGGAACACCGGUGGCGAAGGCGGAUCUCUGGGCCGAUUACUGACGCUGAGGAGCGAAAGCGUGGGGAGCGAACAGGAUUAGAUACCCUGGUAGUCCACGCCGUAAACGUUGGGAACUAGGUGUUGGCGACAUUCCACGUCGUCGGUGCCGCAGCUAACGCAUUAAGUUCCCCGCCUGGGGAGUACGGCCGCAAGGCUAAAACUCAAAGGAAUUGAG